AAAUCGCUUGCAAAAGUUGUUGAGGAAAAGAAAAGGAAAGAAGAUGUCGAGCUUUCAGAGAUAGACAUGUUUGAGUUAAGUCGAAAGUCAAAGAAGUCGGGGGGCUGGUAAAUGACAAAGCAAAAGAGACCUUGGACAAAAUGAGGGAAUUGCAGGCUACAACUUCAAUGACUAGCAAGGAAAUAUGCGAGCAAGAACUUGGUUACAUACCUGGACACAUCCGCGGUCGUAGUGCAACCAAGAAGCAAGCUGCUGAGGUAGAACGCUGGAGGCAUGAGAUUGAGGACAGCCGAAAAAGAGCAGAUGAAACAGAAAAAUGAGC